GCCUAGCUCUGUUGGUAGAGCAUGAGACUCAUACUCUCAGAGCGUGGGUUUGUGUCCCCUGUUGGGCG
rnacentral:tRNA from 1 species